UACGUAGGGUCCAAGCGUUAUCCGGAAUCACUGGGCGUAAAGCGUGCGUAGGUGGAUUGUUAAGUGCGGUGCGAAAUCCUGUGGCUCAACCAUAUGGACUGUAUCGCAUACUGGCAAUCUAGAGGACAUGAGAGGCAAGUGGAACUACUGGUGUAGCAGUGAAAUGCGUAGAGAUCAGUAGGAACACCAAUGGCGAAGGCAGCUUGCUGGCAUGUAUCUGACGCUAAGGCACGAAAGCGUGGGGAGCGAACAGG
rnacentral:rRNA from 1 species